rnacentral:rRNA from 1 species
GAUGAACGCUAGCUACAGGCUUAACACAUGCAAGUCGAGGGGAAACGACAUCGAAAGCUUGCUUUUGAUGGGCGUCGACCGGCGCACGGGUGAGUAACGCGUAUCCAACCUGCCCACCACUUGGGGAUAACCUUGCGAAAGUAAGACUAAUACCCAAUGACGUCCAUAGAAGACAUCUGAAGUGGAUUAAAGAUUUAUCGGUGAUGGAUGGGGAUGCGUCUGAUUAGCUUGUUGGCGGGGUAACGGCCCACCAAGGCGACGAUCAGUAGGGGUUCUGAGAGGAAGGUCCCCCCACAUUGGAACUGAGACACGGUCCAAACUCCUACGGGAGGCAGCAGUGAGGAAUCUUCCGCAAUGGACGAAAGUCUGACGGAGCAACGCCGCGUGAACGAUGACGGCCU